AGGAUGAACGCUGGCGGCGUGCCUAACACAUGCAAGUCGAACGUCCUGUCUCGCAAGAGGCAGGGAGUGGCGGACGGGUGAGUACCACGUGGGUCAUCUACCGUGAGGUGAGGAAUACCGGCGAGAAAUCGCCGACAAGACCGCAUAGGCUCGAUGCAAGUCGAGCAAAGCUCUUUCGAGAGAGGGAGCGCCACACGAGGAGCCUGCGCCCGAUUAGCUAGCUGGUGGAGUAACGGUUCACCAGGGCGACGAUCGGUAGCUGGUCUGAGAGGACGAUCAGCCACACUGGGAUUGAGAACGGCCCAGACUCCUACGGGGGGCAGCAGUGAGGAAUUUUCGUCAAUGGGGGCAACCCUGAACGAGCAACGCCGCGUGCAGGAAGAAGGUUUCGGAUCGUAAACUGCUUUUCUCGGGGAAGAGAAUGGACGGUACCCGAGGAAUCGAGCCCCGGCUAACUACGCGCCAGCAGCCGCGGU
rnacentral:rRNA from 1 species